CCUACGGGUGGCAGCAGUAGGGAAUAUUGGGCAAUGGGUGAGAGCCUGACCCAGCCAUGCCGCGUGCAGGAAGAAGGCGUUCUGCGUUGUAAACUGCUUUUGAUCGGGAAGAAAGCGUCUUUGCGAAGACAGUUGACGGUACCGAUAGAAUAAGCACCGGCUAACUCCGUGCCAGCAGCCGCGGUAAUACGGAGGGUGCAAGCGUUGUCCGGAUUCAUUGGGUUUAAAGGGUGCGUAGGCGGAUUGGUAAGUCAGUGGUGAAAGGCAGCGGCUCAACCGUUGAGUUGCCAUUGAUACUGUCAGUCUUGAGUGCACUAGAGGUAAGUGGAAUUUAUGGUGUAGCGGUGAAAUGCAUAGAUACCAUAAAGAACACCAAUAGCGAAGGCAGCUUACUAGAGUGUAACUGACGCUGAGGCACGAAAGCGUGGGGAGCGAACAGG
rnacentral:rRNA from 1 species